AAAUUAGGCGUACUAUAAAAUGUCUAACCAGUUUUCGUCUUAAUGUAAAAUGGUUUUUAAUGACAUUUAGACGUCUUGUAAAAGAACGGAAAAAAUUAUCAAACAUUUUAUAAAAUUCCACUUUCUAUUGUAAUUAGGUAAUUUAAUAAUAAAUUACUUAUUGUAAGUGAAUUAAACCAUUGUUUAUUUACGAGAAGAAAAUUUAAUACCACGAGCGCAAGCGAGUGGAUUAAUUCUUCGAGCAAAUUAAUAGGUUUAAUUCACGUGUCGUAUAUAUUUUUUUAUUCAAUUUUGACCAAAAUUUACCAAAAAAUGCAAGAAAAUUUCCAUAACAACGAGUUGUUUAUUUAUUUGCAAAAGUGCGAGAAUUGUAACGCGUAUGGAAAAAAUGGCUAGAAUCAGCGAUUUUAAAGAGGAAAACCAGGUUUUCGUGCCUGAAUUGGUCAUUCAAGAAGCUUCAGAAGCUAUAAAUAAAGUGGUGCCAGCAAAAUCUAAACAAUUAUACGAAAAAGAGUAUUCAAAUUUUUGUGAAUGGAGGAAGCGGAAGGAUGCAAAGGGAGUAGACGAGAGAAUAAUUUUGGCUUAUAUUUCUGAACGAUCCAAAAAUGCAAAAUCUUCGUCAUUGUGGGCGUAUUAUUCCCAACUGAAGAAAAUGUUAUCUGUUAAAGAAAAUAUCGUUAUAAGCAGAUUUCAUCAGGUAUCUGCUUUCUUAAAACAACACUCUGUAGGGCACAGACCAAAGAAAUCUAAAGUCUUCAGCUUCGAAGAAAUGGAAAAGUUUUUAGACACUGCUUCAGAUGAUGAAUAUUUGCUGAAAAAAGUGGUUCUAAUUGUGGGAGUUUUUGGAGGCUGUAGAAUUGGAGAA